rnacentral:rRNA from 1 species
UAGGGAAUCUUCGGCAAUGGGGGCAACCCUGACCGAGCAACGCCGCGUGAGUGAAGAAGGUUUUCGGAUCGUAAAGCUCUGUUGUAAGAGAAGAACGUGUGUGAGAGUGGAAAGUUCACACAGUGACGGUAACUUACCAGAAAGGGACGGCUAACUACGUGCCAGCAGCCGCGGUAAUACGUCGGUCCCGAGCGUUGUCCGGAUUUAUUGGGCGUAAAGCGAGCGCAGGCGGUUUAAUAAGUCUGAAGUUAAAGGCAGUGGCUUAACCAUUGUUCGCUUUGGAAACUGUUAAACUUGAGUGCAGAAGGGGAGAGUGGAAUUCCAUGUGUAGCGGUGAAAUGCGUAGAUAUAUGGAGGAACACCGGUGGAGAAAGCGGCUCUCUGGUCUGUAACUGACGCUGAGGCUCGAAAGCGUGGGGAGCAAACAGG